rnacentral:lncRNA from 1 species
UUCUUUUUCCUUAGGGACCCAAGUAUUACUAAAACUAAAGUGCAACCUCCCAACUCUGCUACCCAUGCACACAUGGUUGGAGCUGCAAGACCAGGUUUUCCUCCAUCCCUUACCCUGCAGGAGCUCAGCAAAAAGGAGAAAUCAAAGAUGAUGGGGACCUCACCUCCAAGAUCUCAGAAUUUCGGGGAAUGUUUCAUAGCCAUCCAAAGUAAUGCAAAAGCACUCCUUUUGAAUAAAAAGUAUGGUCCUGUGGUUGAAGGCAUCUCUUUUAAUAAUGCAACACACAGCUUCCUGAGGGGACAGCAGUUGAUUUGGAAGCGGAAUAUGGUGCACUCUAAAUUCCUGUCCCUGCGGAAGGCUGACUAACUGAUAAGUGCCAUGAGCUAGCAUGGGGACUCAUUCUGUCAAAUCAACUUGCUGGAAAGGCCCCAUGCGGAAUCUUCUCCAGUCUCCAGGAGCUAAUGUGAGCAGACACUUGUGACAUUAGACAGUACAGCAGGCCUGGCAUGAAGAAAAAGUUCACCAUCCACAGACAAGGUGGUCUUUUAGAUGACAAGGAUAAAGAAACGAGAAGUCACGCUUUUGAAGUGGAGGUCUCUGACGGCUACUGGUCCCACAAAAACAAGUGGGAAAAUUGUGUCCACCAGGCUGUCAACUCAGCUGGCGGAGAAACUGUCUGCUGCAUGUCCUAGCUCCGAAUUGCUC